rnacentral:rRNA from 1 species
GUGGAUUAGUGGCGAACGGGUGAGUAACACGUGGGCAAUCUGCCCUUCACUCUGGGACAAGCCCUGGAAACGGGGUCUAAUACCGGAUAACACCGGCUUCCGCAUGGAAGCUGGUUGAAAGCUCCGGCGGUGAAGGAUGAGCCCGCGGCCUAUCAGCUUGUUGGUGGGGUAAUGGCCUACCAAGGCGACGACGGGUAGCCGGCCUGAGAGGGCGACCGGCCACACUGGGACUGAGACACGGCCCAGACUCCUACGGGAGGCAGCAGUGGGGAAUAUUGCACAAUGGGCGAAAGCCUGAUGCAGCGACGCCGCGUGAGGGAUGACGGCCUUCGGGUUGUAAACCUCUUUCAGCAGGGAAGAAGCGAAAGUGACGGUACCUGCAGAAGAAGCGCCGGCUAACUACGUGCCAGCAGCCGCGGUAAUACGUAGGGCGCAAGCGUUGUCCGGAAUUAUUGGGCGUAAAGAGCUCGUAGGCGGCUUGUCACGUCGGGUGUGAAAGCCCGGGGCUUAACCCCGGGUCUGCAUCCGAUACGGGCAGGCUAGAGUGUGGUAGGGGAGAUCGGAAUUCCUGGUGUAGCGGUGAAAUGCGCAGAUAUCAGAGG